UCACGGAAAGUACAGACUUUGGAUACGAUAGUAGAAGCCACCUCUACAGGUCUACAGUCAGUAUCAGGGAGGAAGCAGAAGACUCAGACCCCGAUUACGAUGAUGUGGAUAUUUCCAGCAGUCGUGCCCCAAAUAGUGAAGCCUCAUCAGCNAUAGCUCCACCCCCACUGCCCCCCAAGCCCAAACCCCGGACCCCAAUCGGCAAGACAGCGGUGGGCCUGUACCCUCAGAGGAUCUCUGCCNUUCGUGUUCUACAGGGGC
rnacentral:lncRNA from 1 species